CUGACCUUCUGACGAAGCCGAGAAGGAGAGGAAGAGAACUAAGAGAGAUAAUAGUGGCAUCCUCCUUGUUUAUUUCAGAAAAUGGUCUUUGAUCUAUCUGCUUUGCAGAAGUACUCAUGAAGCUGUAAUGAAUGAGUGGCAAAUAACAUCUUCUCUUUGUGUACAGGAGGAUGAUUGAUGGUGACAGUCACCAUAUCCUGCAAAGUAGGGCAGAGAAACAUGCCUACUGGACGGGGUUUGACCUCCAAUUUGGUCCAAGUGUAAGCAUUGGACUUUAUUUACACACACAGGAGUAAGCUGGUUGCCUUGGCUCUGGUAUGGUGAUGUCGUCACUGCUAAGCAUUGCAACAAUAUCAGACAUAGUGGGACGGUCUACUGCUUUUACUUGGACACACAUUAGUGCCAACCUGAGAUAUUUCAUCAUGUCUCCUGGUUCAUAUUCAUCACCAAUUGAUUGAUCAAUGAAUUCAUGCCAUGUUUCUUCUUCCCACAUCUGCCAUGCCUGAAAAUACGGUCCUUACAUAAAUUUGACGAUCUCUAUGGAUGAUACGCAGCCGUGAAUGCUCGUGAAGGACACAGAAAAGCAAACGUGUACAGACGACCGAGAGCGAGUACACUGUGGCAAUAAUCAGGAGUGCAUGGCCCUUCCGUUGCCCUGAAUAAUGCAAGAGAGAAGUGACAUGUAGCGAAUGAACGAUACUACUAAUAGCCUCUCAAGGCUCCAGCUCUUUCAUACUUUUAGAAGGGAAGUAUGUCAGAAGGUGACUCAGAUAGGUAAAUUCAUGUAUUUUUCAUGGUUGCUCCUUCCAGUAUAUGUACCCGAUUUGAUUAAGCAAACUGAACCUUUGUACUA